rnacentral:rRNA from 1 species
GGGAGCUUGCUCCUGGAUUCAGCGGCGGACGGGUGAGUAAUGCCUAGGAAUCUGCCUGGUAGUGGGGGAUAACGUCCGGAAACGGGCGCUAAUACCGCAUACGUCCUGAGGGAGAAAGUGGGGGAUCUUCGGACCUCACGCUAUCAGAUGAGCCUAGGUCGGAUUAGCUAGUUGGUGGGGUAAAGGCCUACCAAGGCGACGAUCCGUAACUGGUCUGAGAGGAUGAUCAGUCACACUGGAACUGAGACACGGUCCAGACUCCUACGGGAGGCAGCAGUGGGGAAUAUUGGACAAUGGGCGAAAGCCUGAUCCAGCCAUGCCGCGUGUGUGAAGAAGGUCUUCGGAUUGUAAAGCACUUUAAGUUGGGAGGAAGGGCAGUAAGUUAAUACCUUGCUGUUUUGACGUUACCAACAGAAUAAGCACCGGCUAACUUCGUGCCAGCAGCCGCGGUAAUACGAAGGGUGCAAGCGUUAAUCGGAAUUACUGGGCGUAAAGCGCGCGUAGGUGGUUCAGCAAGUUGGAUGUGAAAUCCCCGGGCUCAACCUGGGAACUGCAUCCAAAACUACUGAGCUAGAGUACGGUAGAGGGUGGUGGAAUUUCCUGUGUAGCGGUGAAAUGCGUAGAUAUAGGAAGGAACACCA